rnacentral:rRNA from 1 species
UUAAGCGACUAAGCGUACACGGUGGAUGCCCUGGCAGUCAGAGGCGAUGAAGGACGUGCUAAUCUGCGAUAAGCGUCGGUAAGGUGAUAUGAACCGUUUAUAACCGGCGAUUUCCGAAUGGGGAAACCCAGUGUGAUUCGUCACACUAUCAUUAACUGAAUCCAUAGGUUAAUGAGGCGAACCGGGGGAACUGAAACAUCUAAGUACCCCGAGGAAAAGAAAUCAACCGAGAUUCCCCCAGUAGCGGCGAGCGAACGGGGGAGCAGCCCAGAGCCUGAAUCAGUGUGUGUGUUAGUGGAAGCGUCUGGAAAGGCGCGCGAUACAGGGUGACAGCCCCGUACACAAAAAUGCACAUGCUGUGAGCUCGAUGAGUAGGGCGGGACACGUGGUAUCCUGUCUGAAUAUGGGGGGACCAUCCUCCAAGGCUAAAUACUCCUGACUGACCGAUAGUGAACCAGUACCGUGAGGGAAAGGCGAAAAGAACCCCGGCGAGGGGAGUGAAAAAAGAACCUGAAACCGUGUACGUACAAGCAGUGGGAGCACGCUUAGGCGUGUGACUGCGUACCUUUUGUAUAAUGGGUCAGCGACUUAUAUUCUGUAGCAAGGUUAACCGAAUAGGGGAGCCGAAGGGAAACCGAGUCUUAACUGGGCGUUAAGUUGCAGGGUAUAGACCCGAAACCCGGUGAUCUAGCCAUGGGCAGGUUGAAGGUUGGGUAACACUAACUGGAGGACCGAACCGACUAAUGUUGAAAAAUUAGCGGAUGACUUGUGGCUGGGGGUGAAAGGCCAAUCAAACCGGGAGAUAGCUGGUUCUCCCCGAAAGCUAUUUAGGUAGCGCCUCGUGAAUUCAUCUCCGGGGGUAGAGCACUGUUUCGGCAAGGGGGUCAUCCCGACUUACCAACCCGAUGCAAACUGCGAAUACCGGAGAAUGUUAUCACGGGAGACACACGGCGGGUGCUAACGUCCGUCGUGAAGAGGGAAACAACCCAGACCGCCAGCUAAGGUCCCAAAGUCAUGGUUAAGUGGGAAACGAUGUGGGAAGGCCCAGACAGCCAGGAUGUUGGCUUAGAAGCAGCCAUCAUUUAAAGAAAGCGUAAUAGCUCACUGGUCGAGUCGGCCUGCGCGGAAGAUGUAACGGGGCUAAACCAUGCACCGAAGCUGCGGCAGCGACGCUGAUGCGUUGUUGGGUAGGGGAGCGUUCUGUAAGCCUGUGAAGGUGUACUGUGAGGUAUGCUGGAGGUAUCAGAAGUGCGAAUGCUGACAUAAGUAACGAUAAAGCGGGUGAAAAGCCCGCUCGCCGGAAGACCAAGGGUUCCUGUCCAACGUUAAUCGGGGCAGGGUGAGUCGACCCCUAAGGCGAGGCCGAAAGGCGUAGUCGAUGGGAAACAGGUUAAUAUUCCUGUACUUGGUGUUACUGCGAAGGGGGGACGGAGAAGGUUAUGUUGGCCGGGCGACGGUUGUCCCGGUUUAAGCGUGUAGGCUGGUUUUCCAGGCAAAUCCGGAAAAUCAAGGCUGAGGCGUGAUGACGAGGCACUACGGUGCUGAAGCAACAAAUGCCCUGCUUCCAGGAAAAGCCUCUAAGCAUCAGGUAACAUCAAAUCGUACCCCAAACCGACACAGGUGGUCAGGUAGAGAAUACCAAGGCGCUUGAGAGAACUCGGGUGAAGGAACUAGGCAAAAUGGUGCCGUAACUUCGGGAGAAGGCACGCUGAUAUGUAGGUGAAGUCCCUCGCGGAUGGAGCUGAAAUCAGUCGAAGAUACCAGCUGGCUGCAACUGUUUAUUAAAAACACAGCACUGUGCAAACACGAAAGUGGACGUAUACGGUGUGACGCCUGCCCGGUGCCGGAAGGUUAAUUGAUGGGGUUAGCGCAAGCGAAGCUCUUGAUCGAAGCCCGGUAAACGGCGGCCGUAACUAUAACGGUCCUAAGGUAGCGAAAUUCCUUGUCGGGUAAGUUCCGACCUGCACGAAUGGCGUAAUGAUGGCCAGGCUGUCUCCACCCGAGACUCAGUGAAAUUGAACUCGCUGUGAAGAUGCAGUGUACCCGCGGCAAGACGGAAAGACCCCGUGAACCUUUACUAUAGCUUGACACUGAACAUUGAGCCUUGAUGUGUAGGAUAGGUGGGAGGCUUUGAAGUGUGGACGCCAGUCUGCAUGGAGCCGACCUUGAAAUACCACCCUUUAAUGUUUGAUGUUCUAACGUUGACCCGUAAUCCGGGUUGCGGACAGUGUCUGGUGGGUAGUUUGACUGGGGCGGUCUCCUCCUAAAGAGUAACGGAGGAGCACGAAGGUUGGCUAAUCCUGGUCGGACAUCAGGAGGGUUAGUGCAAUGGCAUAAGCCAGCUUGACUGCGAGCGUGACGGCGCGAGCAGGUGCGAAAGCAGGUCAUAGUGAUCCGGUGGUUCUGAAUGGAAGGGCCAUCGCUCAACGGAUAAAAGGUACUCCGGGGAUAACAGGCUGAUACCGCCCAAGAGUUCAUAUCGACGGCGGUGUUUGGCACCUCGAUGUCGGCUCAUCACAUCCUGGGGCUGAAGUAGGUCCCAAGGGUAUGGCUGUUCGCCAUUUAAAGUGGUACGCGAGCUGGGUUUAGAACGUCGUGAGACAGUUCGGUCCCUAUCUGCCGUGGGCGCUGGAGAAUUGAGGGGGGGCUGCUCCUAGUACGAGAGGACCGAGUGGACGCAUCACUGGUGUUCGGGUUGUCAUGCCAAUGGCACUGCCCGGUAGCUAAAUGCGGAAGAGAUAAGUGCUGAAAGCAUCUAAGCACGAAACUUGCCCCGAGAUGAGUUCUCCCUGACUCCUUGAGAGUCCUGAAGGAACGUUGAAGACGACGACGUUGAUAGGCCGGGUGUGUAAGCGCAGCGAUGCGUUGAGCUAACCGGUACUAAUGAACCGUGAGGCUUAACCUU